rnacentral:rRNA from 1 species
UACGUAGGGGGCAAGCGUUAUCCGGAUUUACUGGGUGUAAAGGGUGCGUAGGCGGCGCUUCAGGUCAGCGGUGAAAUACCGGGGCUCAACCCCGGGGCUGCCGUUGAAACCGGAGCGCUAGAAUUCCGAUGCCGUCGGAGGAAUGUGUGGUGUAGCGGUGAAAUGCAUAGAUAUCACGCAGAACUCCGAUUGCGAAGGCAGCAUACCGGCGCCCGACUGACGCUGAAGCACGAAAGCGUGGGUAUCGAACAGG